rnacentral:rRNA from 1 species
UUUUGUUUGGAGAGUUUGAUCCUGGCUCAGGACGAACGCUGGCGGCGUGCUUAACACAUGCAAGUCGAACGGAAAGGCCCCUUCGGGGGUACUCGAGUGGCGAACGGGUGAGUAACACGUGGGUGA